rfam:Exiguobacterium sp. AT1b, complete genome.
AACAAUUAUAAAAUAUUUUGCCGUAUAAUGUCGGGGAUAUGGCCCGAGAGUCUCUACGAAAUCACCUUAAAUGAUUUCACUACGGCGAGACAUAGAUGAGGG